GGUAGGAGGCUCUUUGAAGAAAUACAAAAGCUCAGGUUCUGAAAGCAAACGAGAAAGUUGAGGUAAGAAAGAAAAGAUUAGCAGCAGCUUUUUCUCUCACGAGACUGAUCAGCAGUUUGAGUUCAUGAUGCAGCUUUAUGGAGCUCUGAUCCUGUGUGUGACUCUGUCUGCAGUAUGUGGAUUAAGAUGCUACGCAUGCGAAAAUUUAGAUCCUAAAUCCUGCACAAACACCACAACUUGUACUUUUGGCCUCAACCGUUGUGCCACUUUUAGAGUAGACGCUCUUAAUGUAAAUAAGGGCUGCCUGCCCAGUGCAGGAUGUUUUGAGCCUGUCACUUGCUGUGAAGGGGACCUGUGUAACAGCGCUUUUCCAACUGGUCCCAGUGCCAUCGUUCUGCUGGUAUCUUCAGCCAUCCUCAAAUUUCUUUUCUGAGGCUGAGGAAUGAUGCUGUUUCCCUGCUGCACUGUUUUCUGACUCUAUUUUGUAUCAGUAGGGAAGAAUUAAACAACUUUGAAGUGCCUGAAAUAAAACUGUCAUUGCUUUUUUCAUCUGUCAUUCAGGGAAG